CCCGACUACGCCCGACUCACUGCCCUCGUUCGCGGCCGCCUCCAUCCCUUCGCCGCCGCCGCUCCAUCCCUUCGCCGCCGCUAACGUGCCGGGAUCGCCUCUCCGCCUCGGCGCUUGCGCUUCCAGAUCGAAGCCCACGACGGCGGCGUUCCCAGAUCGGCGACGCGCACCGUACGUCACGGCUGACGGCCGUGUCCUCGUCAAGGAAGCGUCGCUUCGAGGUGGCGGCAACCAAGGCCUCCCGGAUCCCCGCCUCCUUCCUCACAUCUCUGGCGGCGACAGCGACAAAUUCCGACACCAUGAGGCCACCGGCAUGAGGAGGAUGCAGCGGGAGGGGUUUCGGCGGCAGGAGCGACGGCGGUGACCGCGGGGGCAGGGGCUUCGGCGGGAGAAGCGAUGGCGGCGGCCGCAGCGGCAGGGGUGGCCGGGGAGGCAGGAUGCCCAGGGGCCAUGGUCGUGGCGGCGGGGGAAGGGGAGGGCCCGGCAUGAAGGGCGGGAGAAAGGUGGUCGUGGUGCCGCACAAGCACGACGGUGUCUUCAUCACCAAGGCCAAGGAGGACCCGCUCUGCACGAAGAACAUGGUCGCCGGGGAGUCCGUCUACGGCAAGAAGAGCGUCUCCGUCCAGGUUUGAAGCUUAUCUUGUUGGGGGGUGUGAGAGAUUUUCUACACAAAAGGGCACCUAAAGAUGUUGAACUGAUUCGUACUGCAAGGCUCAUGCACGCUUUGGCUCAUGCAGAUAUCACAUGUGUUUCUUUCUGCAAAUUCUCAGAUGCCAUUGUUCCAUUGACCUGAUUCUGAUUGUUUGCAGACUAAAAAAUUGCUUUUAAAUUAUGUUCAUCAAGUGAUUCCAAUGUGCCAUGAUAAGAUGCGCAACUCAACAUUUGAGGUUUCUUACUCAUAGGAUUAUCACAUCUUGAAUUCUGGUUCUUAGAGUUUUCGUUUCCAACCCUUAUUUGCUUGUCUUGUCUUUUGUUCUUACGGGUUUCAAUCUUCAGCACACAUCUUCUGUAGGAAAUCUUGUACUUAAAAUGUAGAAAAAUGUCCCUAACGUUGUUGUAAUGCUUGUAUGGCAGACUAUUCUGUAAUCUGUUCAAUUACAGAGCUUAUGAUUAUGUGAAUGAAGCAAGGGAUCUGAGAAAAAAAAAGUUAUUCCUGCCCAUGUUUAUGUCAAGGAGCAUCACCGUCGGUGUUCAAGGAAUGCCAUUGAUUGUAUUAUCAUUAUUAUCCGUCACAAAUUUGGAUUCUGAAUUCUUUCAGAAUUCGAUUAUCUUGGAUUGAGACCUACCGCACUGAGCCUUCAUCAUGUGCUUCCGAAAUAGCCCUGCCAUCUACAAUUUGGCAGUCAGAUGGUGAUCUGAAACUUAAAAUGGAGCAAAUGGCCAUGAGCUCUAACAAAUAUGAGGUUUUCUAUCACAAGAUACCUCAGGAAGAUGAAGCUUACCAACAAGAAUUUAUGGCGAGGAGGCACUCUUGUGCACCCUUUGCAAUACAAAGGUCGUCGGCGGCGGAUCUGGAGACGCGGAUGCUCCUGCACAACGCGGCGUCCAUGGAGUCCCCUUGUCUGUCAAGGAACCGGUCGUCGUUCCACCCCCUCCCCUUCCCCGAACACCAUCGUCGCUCCUCUGCGUGGCGUCUCUCGCUUGUCGCUACCAUCCAUGAGGAGAAUCCAUCGUCAAAGGUCGCCGUACAGGGACUCUGUUGCUUUCUGCAGAACCGCCACUCCUGCCACCUCCAGGAAAGCAUUUGUACGCAGAUGGGUUAUAUCUAAUAACUUGGGAUUUGCUCUAAGUUCUGUUGAUAGUGAUGAUGAGUUGAUAGAGCAUACCUUUUUGCCUGCUAUUGUAUAGUCACAAAAUUUCCAUGGUGUGCAUGGGGGUACUUUUUCAGUGAACCCAUCACUUAUACUGCAUACUGGAAAAAGGUAUCUAUAGCUUUUAGGUAAUGUCUAUUUCAAUCAUCAGAAGACAUAUUGAAUAUAUGUUCCUUUGUGCACCGAAACAAUCCCAUAAAAAAACAAACUACUUCCCUAUAUUGUGAUUCUUCCCAUAGUUGUUUGCUCCCUGGAAACAAAGGCCGAGGCAACAUAUUUUACCGUGUAUACAAUGAUCUUGCUUUUAAAACUAAUAAUAUAUACUUAUGAUCUCUUCUACAUGUUUGUUUUCUAAUCCCUAUUUUCAUGUUUUUGAGGCAUGUUAGCUAUCUUCCAGUAAUAUAUUUAGUGUUAUCCAGUAAGUUUUUUGAGGCAUGUGUGUUACUCAAAGAAAAAGGUGUGUCAGUCUCAGUGAUACCCUUUGAAUUUUUGAACAAUUGCCACUGCUAAGGUGAUUUUUUUUUGGAAACCACUGCUAAGGUGAUUGGAAAUUGCUUUGUACACAUUCUACUAGGCUCGUUUUCUGUGAUUGUACACAUUCUACUAGGCUCAUUUUCUGUGAAUCCCUACAAUCUGAGGAAUGAAGUGAAGGGAAGACGUGAGGAGAAAGCUCUACCUUCACAGGAGACAAGAUCCGUGCCGGGAAUUCGGAUGUGCUUGUAUGUUACUGUAGAGCGACGAUUUCAGGGUGGAUGUUGAUGAUCUCAGAUUGAUUCGAUGCUGCAGCGAGCUGGGAUGGGCUUGCACUAAUGAUGUAUUAAAACAUUGAUAUGAUGGCAGGAAGAUCCAAGAUGGUUCCAGCAGUUAGGACAAACAAUCAGGAAGGGAAGUAUAUAUAUUGAAAAGAAAGCCCAGACACAGUGUCGAGAAUGAAAGAGAAUGGAAAGUAGGGGUAGGUUUUCUUUAUUUUAUUUUUUUGUCUUCUAAAAAUAAAUUGAGCGAGGUUAAUGAGACCCGGCGAAUGGAAAUGAGGGGUAGGAUUUUUUUGUCUUCUAAAAAUAAAUAGAGUGAGGUUAAGGAGACACGACAAUUAUUGAUAGAGAAAAAGAGUUGGAAAAUCAGUUUUUGUUAUAUAAAUGGAAAGUAUAAGCCAUCAUGUUUGACAUAUUAUUUUCUAAAUUAGAACAACUUUUUAUCAUUAUUGUUAUUGUGUGGCAAUGCGUGAAUAUUUAUUGUAAAGUAUAUGUUGGACAAAUUAAUGUUGAACCACUAGAGUACAUGCCCGUUGUCGUAUGAUAUAUACCAUUUCAUAUAUCAUGGAUGACUAUGAUGGUGUGCAUUCUUUGGCACUGGGAAUUGGCCUGGGACACCAUAGAGGGGAGAGGAGGGGGAGGGCGACGCCAUGGAAGGAAGGGGAGACUACGCUGAGAGAAAGAUGUGGGUUGAACGCCGUGGCUGUGAGAGAUGGCAAUGGUGUCAGCGAGGAGAGCAGGGCAGGGGAAUGAGAUGUGGGUAUGAGCGUUGUGCCAUGCAGUGAGAGAACGAGAGAGUGAAUUGCUUUUUUUAUUAAAAAGAUAAGAAGGUGCGGCCGUUUGCUUCUUUUUAGGGAAAGCGGUUGUUUGCUAUGAGAGAAAUGCCACAUACUUUUAUGUAGUGAAAAAUAUCAGAUACCUUAACAAAGACAUUUAUGAAAAAAAUACCAACAAGUGAUUUAUAGGUGAACUUACAGUUUAUUAAAAUUAGAAUCUGACCCACUCUGCUAAAAAGUAUGAUGCCACUCACUCCGACUAGAAACGUAGCCUACUCGCAUUUAGCAUCUGACCAAUGAACAUAUGUUGUAUAUAAGCUUAUUUUUUACUUUUUAAAAUAUUUUUUAUAUGUUCAAUUUUGUAUAUGAGAGAUAAAAACUGAUGGUUUCCAGGGAUGCUUUGAUAAAUGUCGAUUAACAAAGCUUUAUGAGGGUUCGGACUGAAAAAUCAUCGAGUUUUACACAAUCCGAAGAGAUGCAUGCAAAUGGUUAUUCUUUAUAUAUUUGUUGCACAUCAUAAUACAAAAGGUGUGUUUCUAUAUAUCUUUAUUUUUGUAAAUUAUGGGAGAGAUGGAAAUGGAUUAUAUCGACUUUAAAAAAAAUCCAUCCAUGAAGGUGUCGAGACGAUGUUGUUAUAAGAGACAAAAAAUUCACCGAGUUUUAUACAACGAAAGGCCCGUAGCAACGCACGGGCAUUCUAUGAUUUUGUAGGAGGAUAUGAAACAUUUUUGACUAAAAUUAGCUGUCAUUUUGCUCG